UACGAACUGUGCGAACGUUAUUCGGAAUCACUGGGCUUACAGGGUGCGUAGGCGGCUUAGCAAGUCAGGUGUGAAAGCCCCCGGCUCAACCGGGGAACUGCGCUUGAAACUGCUGAGCUCGAGUCAGCUAGAGGUACACGGAACUUCCAGUGGAGCGGUGAAAUGUGUUGAUAUCUGGAGGAACACCGGUGGCGAAGGCGGCAUCCUGGACCAAUAUUGACGCUGAGGAGCGAAAGCCAGGGGAGCAAACGGG
rnacentral:rRNA from 1 species